rnacentral:rRNA from 1 species
UCCUACGGGGCGCAGCAGUGGGGAAUAUUGGGCAAUGGACGCAAGUCUGACCCAGCAACGCCGCGUGAAGGAAGAAGGCUUUCGGGUUGUAAACUUCUUUUAAGGGGGAAGAGCAGAAGACGGUACCCCUUGAAUAAGCCACGGCUAACUACGUGCCAGCAGCCGCGGUAAUACGUAGGUGGCGAGCGUUAUCCGGAAUGAUUGGGCGUAAAGGUUGCGUAGGCGGCCUGCUAAGUCUGGAGUGAAAGGUACCGGCUCAACCGGUACAGGCUCUGGAAACUGGCGGGCUAGAGAGCAGGAGAGGG